AUGAUGCCUGUACAUUGCAUGUAUACUGCCCAGAUAAAGGCCAGAUACUGGCUCGACCACAGCCCCGGCCUCUGCACAGCCGGCCGCCUCCGCUGCGCCCGCUCCGGUCGGCUCCGGCCUCCUGCCGCCUCCCGUGCUGCGCCUCCGCACGGCCCUGGGAUCGUGCUGGCGUCCUUCGCCCAGCGCCUGCGUGCUCAGCCUCGCGACCGGCCGCCCCGUGCUCCUACAACACCGACGGGUCCGCCCCACUGCGGCUGGCUGCAGCCGCACCCGGGCACCCCGCUUGACCUCUGCUUCGCCCGGGCUCCUCGCGAGCGCCUCCCCCUGCUAACCGGCCUCGCCUCCGAGUCCCGCACGGGCUCCGCUUGCGGCCGCACCCCUGGCCGGCUCCGCCUCGCCGGGCCGCCUCUGUGCCUGCCUCUGCGCUCUCCGCCUACGCUCGUGGCUGCCGGCUACUGGUUCCAUCUCGUCUAUACACCGAGUCCGCCUCGCCUGGCCGGCUUCUCCGCCCACUGCCGCGCCGGCCGGCUCCACUGCAGCCGGCCGCGUCCGGCUCCCCGAUGCCACCCCGUGCUUGGCCGGGGCCGCCUCCUCACCCGCUUCGCCGCCUGCCGGGGCCGCCUCCUCACGCGCCUCGCCGCCUGA
rnacentral:rRNA from 1 species